UGAGAACGGAAAGUUGAGUUAACGAUAAAUUGAAACAGAUUUCGUGAUUUACAUGCAAGUAAGUUGGAGUGCAAUUUUUUAAUAGAAAAGAUACAAUACGGACACACUGAUGUAGAAAAUAACAGUGUUCGAUGUUACGAAAGUUCGACUAAUAUCCGGAAAUCUGAGGAACAAAAAACACGAACGUAAAUCGUAGAAAAAAAUUCUUUUCAAAACGUCACCAAAAAGUGUAAAAAAGAUAAGUAAAACCUAUAAGUACCUUC